rnacentral:rRNA from 1 species
AUUGAACGCUGGCGGCAUGCCUAACACAUGCAAGUCGAGCGGAGAGGCGGACGGGUGAGUAACGACUAGGAAUUUGCCUGGUAGUGGGGGAUAACGUCCGGAAACGUGCGCUAAUACCGCAUACUAUCAGAUGAGCCUCGGUCGGCUUAGCUAGUUGGUGGGGUAAUGGCCUACCAAGGCGACGAUGCGUAACUGCGCUGAGAGGAUGAUCAGUCACAUUGGAACUGAUACACGGUCCAGACGCCUACGUGAGGCAGCAGUGGGGAAUAUUGGGCAAUGGGCGAAAGCCUGAGCCAGCCAUGCCGCGUGUGAGAAGAAGGUCGUCGGAUUGUAAAGCACGUUAAGUUGGGAGGCGGUACCAAAAGAAUAAGCACCGGCUAACUUCGUGCCAGCAGCCGCGGUAAUUC